rnacentral:lncRNA from 1 species
AAAAACACAUAAACUUAUGUUAAUUACUUGACACUCCUGUCACAAGAUGAAGAGAAAGCCUUUGCUUGCCAUUUUCACUGUGUACAGUGUGAUACAGCAGCCAUUUCCAUACUCUUUGACUCCUUACACCACUUGAUUCCACAUGACAAAAGCUGAAGGUUUUUAGACAUCAGAAUUAGUGGUGCUCCAAACAACUAAAAAAAAGGCAGUAAAAGUGGUGAAAAGUCAACUGGUUAUUUGUUUACAGCAUUGUGGUAACUAACACUAACCAUGUAACUCUUGGAAAAAAAUGCAUUGCCUGUUACCGGAUUAAAAAAAAAUAGAAUGAAUAAUUCAACAAACAUAAUUUUUCUGAUGCAUGUGAGCUACUUCACCACACUGCAGAUCCACAAACUGAUCAGCAUCACCUGAAAUGCAUUUCCUAGAUUGGUUCAAAAUGUAUUUUAUGAUUAUGAUGUGAACAGUUUGCUGCCAGUAUGUGACAUGCAAAAUUCAAAAGAGCUUGAUUAGCUGCCAGUUAAUCAAAUACGUGACCUGGGGCUUGUUGCUGCCCACUGAUUAGCUGAGUUUGCAAGAAGACUGCAGCACAUCACAAGAUUCAAUGCACAGAUAUUGCCAGACAGAAAUCUCCAAGUGCUGAGGCAUGUGCCCUUUAAAGAGUGGAACCAAUAUAACUAGAUGCAAGUAUCCACAGCACAAGGAUUUUGCUGUGGCAGCCAGAGCAAAGAGUAUGUAAGAUACUCAUGGAAGUGUCAUGGAAAACCUCCACAAAGAGUAUAAAAAUGAAUUUUCUGUAUGCAUUAGUUUUGCAUAUUAUUUUCCCAACUCUGCUUGAAACUCUGCUUUUUUCCUCAUAAAAGUAGAUGUUCCCCUGUGUUUUUCAGAUGUGGGUUCUCAGCACAGCUGUCUUUUUUUUUGGUUUUGUUUUUGUUCCUCACUAGGCAGUUUUACUGGCCAGUUUGACACAAAUCCAGAACCGUAUUUUACAGGGGGCUUCCUAUCUAAAUCUGUGCUCACCUCCCAUCUCCUGGAUAAACCAGAGGAGGCCUCACCCCAGAGGAUGGGAGCACAGCCACAGCAGCAUCACACUGAUACCACUCAGGGUGGGGGGCGCAGCACUACUGGAUGUGCCUCCCAAGAACCACAGUGAGAGACACCAGGAGGAGAUGAGGGCUCUGUGUUUCUGCUGCUCUGCUGAUUGCCACUGUGGGUUCCCCAAGGGGACUGACAAGAGAGGGAGCCAGCCCUGAACUGAGGUGAGUGCAAAUGGAGUCUGCUGAGUCCCAGCAGGUAAAUAAACACUCCCCUGGCCAGAGGAAGGCA